GACGAACGCUGGCGGCGUGCCUAAUACAUGCAAGCUGAGCGCUGAAGGUUGGUACUUGUACCAACUGGAUGAGCAGCGAACGGGUGAGUAACGCGUGGGGAAUCUGCCUUUGAGCGGGGGACAACAUUGGAAACGAAUGCUAAUACCGCAUAAAAACUUUAAACACAAGUUUUAAGUUUGAAAGAUGCAAUUGCAUCACUCAAAGAUGAUCCCGCGUUGUAUUAGCUAGUUGGUGAGGUAAAGGCUCACCAAGGCGAUGAUACAUAGCCGACCUGAGAGGGUGAUCGGCCACAUUGGGACUGAGACACGGCCCAAACUCCUACGGGAGGCAGCAGUAGGGAAUCUUCGGCAAUGGACGAAAGUCUGACCGAGCAACGCCGCGUGAGUGAAGAAGGUUUUCGGAUCGUAAAACUCUGUUGGUAGAGAAGAACGUUGGUGAGAGUGGAAAGCUCAUCAAGUGACGGUAACUACCCAGAAAGGGACGGCUAACUACGUG
rnacentral:rRNA from 1 species